GGGUGAGUAACACGUGGAUAACCUACCUAUAAGACUGGGAUAACUUCGGGAAACCGGAGCUAAUACCGGAUAAUAUAUUGAACCGCAUGGUUCAAUAGUGAAAGACGGUUUUGCUGUCACUUAUAGAUGGAUCCGCGCCGCAUUAGCUAGUUGGUAAGGUAACGGCUUACCAAGGCAACGAUGCAUAGCCGACCUGAGAGGGUGAUCGGCCACACUGGAACUGAGACACGGUCCAG
rnacentral:rRNA from 1 species